ensembl:lncRNA
GCCGCCGCCGCCGCCGCCGCCGCCGCCGCCACCUCCCCCCCACCCCCCGCGUCUCGGCCGAGACUCCGCCUCUCUCGGCCGCCGCCGCGACCGCCAGUCGGGCUAGGGGAGCACGUGACCGCGCCACGUGACCCGGCGCCUCCCCGGUCGGACCCGCGGCGGGUGGCGCUGCCCGGUGCGCGCGCGCGCGCGGGCCCGGGAGCGGGGUGCGGUCUCGAGCCUCCCACGCGCCGCUCGACUCCCCAGACUCUAGCACCUCCCGCGUCGCCCGCCUCCGCCUGGGCGCCCAGCCUGGACCACUCACCUCCUCCAGAGUCCUCACGCCCGAUCUUGUCAGCGGGGGCCGGAAGUGGACAUCACGCCUUCUCCUACCCAGACAGAGCCGCUGCAGAGCACACAGCGACUCGUACUAUGAGCAACGUGGCUCCCCUGGAAACAGUCAUUCAAGUGUCUUCGGCGGUGCUGCUGCUGUCACUAUGCUUGUAGGUAUCUCCCCUCCCUCCUGGCUGUAGCCAAAUUUAAAGCCCAAAGAAUUGGCUGAUUCAACCCUUCAGGCACCAAGGUAUUCAGCACAGGCACAUGGAACCCGGAUCCUAGACAUCGGGAGAUGGCAAAAGAGCCAGAGCUUUUGGAGAACAAGAGACAAGCCUUUGGUCUCUCGAUGUGUUCUGAGAGCCAAAAAUGUUUGUGCCAACUUAGACUUCAUUACUGGAAACACAGCAUGCCACACAAAGAAUAAAAUGCCCACUUCCCCUGGACUGCCCUGAGCCAAGCCACAUCCAUACAACACUCCUACCAAUCCUGGGUGCUACCAGUCACAUACAAAAGGAUUGAGGACUCAAAACUCCUGAAGCUGUAACAGAGAUGGACGACGGAGCUCAGGGAUGGACCAUUGCUUUGAUUCUUUUUGUACUGCUGUGAUAAAAUACUCUGAGGCAACCUACAUAACGAGGGGCUUACUUGGGCGUAUGGUUUCGGAGAGUCCUUCAGUCAGAAUCAUGGCAGCAUGGCGACUGAGAGCUCACAUCUUCAACCAUAAGCAGUAGCUUCCAGAAAAACACCAUGUGUCUGUUCUCAGCAAACCAUCCUCCCACAUGUCUGCUUCAGUAAAAACAUCCUCUCAUAAGACAGCUUCCAGAAAAACAUCACAUGACACAACUACGUCUCCAAAGAAACCAGAAAUUUCCACUUCCAUUCCCCUCUCUUUAAACAGCUCUGCAGUAAGCUGAGGUAAACUUGAUGUAGAAAAGUGCAAUGCUACUUUGAGUCCUUAAUGUUUAAGCCUAUAAAGAGAGAAGUAUAAAUCCCACCUGAGAAUGGCUCAACAGUGCCUGCCCAAGAUACAGUAUCUGUGGCUGCUGCUGCCAUCUUGUGACCAGGAGAGGAAGUAGCACACAUAGGGCUGGGAAACAGAGGUGGCCAUUGGGUCAUUGACUCUUAGAAACAGCCUUUCUGUGUAUGUUCCGUUCACCUUGGCAACCUUGAGAUGUCUGUAUUUAGGGAUGAUAAAAUGCUUUGUCGAUUUUAAGUUUGCCUCCUACUUAAUUACAAAAUCUUUCCGGCUGUUUCAAUAUACACUGCGUUCUGAGGACCUCAGAGAUCUUUACAUCCACCCUAAGUGUAACGCCAGCUGCAUGGAUUAGUGUCAUUAUUUACCCUGAACUCCACAAAAAGGCUUUAAAGAGCAACAUGGAAUAAAACCUAAUAUAGGAACCAUACACGAAGUCAAUAGAAGUCAUUAGAUUCUAAAAAAGCAGACAAGCAAGGUGUGGGAGUACAAGGUACAGGUCUGUAAUCCAAGCACUUAGGAGGUAAAGGCAGGAAGAUAAGGAGUUGAAGGUUAGCCUGGGUUAGUUUGAGUUUGAGGCAAGCCCAGGCUACAAAAAACCCAUUCUCAAGACAAAACCAAACAAAGGAAGCAGGCUACAUGCAGCAUAUACUCAAAUCUACAAAUAUUUAGUAAAGUCAGCUUUAUAAUUAAAACUGGGCUCUUAAACCAUUAUCUUUUUUUUUCUUUUUUUUCGGAGCUGGGGACCGAACCCAGGGCCUUGCACUUGCUAGGCAAGCACUCUACCACUGAGCU